GAUGAAGAACGUAGUGAAAUGCGAUACGUAAUGUGAAUUGCAGAAUUCAGUGAAUCAUCGAAUCUUUGAACGCAUAUUGCGCUCUCUGGUAUUCCGGAGAGCAUGCUUGUUUGAGUAUCAGUAAACACCUCAACUUCCAUAUCUUUUUUGAAAUGGGAGUUGGACUUGAGUGAUCCCAACGCUUUUCCUCACCGAAAAGUGGCGGGUUACUUGAAAUGCAGGUGCAGCUGGACUUUUCUCUGAGCUAUAAGCAUAUCUAUUUAGUCUGCCUAAAAAACAGAUUAUUACCUUUGCUGCAGCUAACAUAAAGGAGAUUAGUUCUUGCUGACUGAUGCAGGAUUCACAAAGACAGGCUUCGGCCGACUUUGUAAACUCGAUCUCAAAUCAAGUAAGACUACCCGCUGAACUUAAGCAUAUCAAUAAGCGGAGGA
rnacentral:misc_RNA from 1 species